rnacentral:rRNA from 1 species
CCGGCGCACGGGUGAGUAACGCGUAUGCAACUUACCUAUCAGAGGGGGAUAACCCGGCGAAAGUCGGACUAAUACCGCAUGAAGCAGGGGCCCCGCAUGGGGAUAUUUGCUAAAGAUUCAUCGCUGAUAGAUAGGCAUGCGUUCCAUUAGGCAGUUGGCGGGGUAACGGCCCACCAAACCGACGAUGGAUAGGGGUUCUGAGAGGAAGGUCCCCCACAUUGAUACUGAGACACGGACCAA